rnacentral:lncRNA from 1 species
CGCAGAGUCAGCCAAUCAAGGGCGGGAAAACUCGGAGGGUUGAAAAUGGGGCGCAUGCGCAAUAGCAGAAGCAGCGGGCGGGUCCAGGCACAGCCGCCAGCCAGGCUGCACCCGGCUGUGGCAGCCACGGGCAGGGGCGGAGCCCGCCGUAUAUGGGAGCUGCUUGGGGACAAACUGUGUAGGGUGCGCUCUCGGGCGGGCAGGGCUUCAACACCCUACCAGCUGUAGAGUCGCUGAGAGCAACCAAGACAACCAAGAACAGCCUACACGUGUACAUAAUCCUCUGAUUCCAACACCACCUUGCGAUUUGACACAACCGACAAAGUGCUGCGGCCCACGGAACACGAACAGCAAGCCUGCGGAUUUUAAACUAGAAGCAGCGAGGUUUCUCGCCAGAGAAAUGACUGAACAGCCACCCCUUGAUUAAUUUACUCUCUGCACCAAGAAAAAUGAAUAAACAGGAAGGUUUUUAAGGGCUUGCUCAUCUUCUCAAAUUCCAAUGAAUCUCUGGUACCCCUUUCAUUUGUUUCUGUCUUUAGAAAUUUUAGACUUUUUAAAGUCUUCCAGGACUUAACCUGCACAGAAGCUUCCUCCGGAAGUCAAGUGUGAGGCUCCCCGCGUGAGGCUCCCCAUUGACUAACUGCUAAGCACAGCAUCAGUUUGGUAAGGACAACUGCCAGGAGAACUGUU